UACGGAGGGGGCUAGCGUUGUUCGGAAUUACUGGGCGUAAAGCGCACGUAGGCGGCUUUGCAAGUCAGAGGUGAAAGCCCGGGGCUCAACCCCGGAAUUGCCUUUGAGACUGCAUCGCUAGAAUUGUGGAGAGGUAAGUGGAAUUCCGAGUGUAGAGGUGAAAUUCGUAGAUAUUCGGAAGAACACCAGUGGCGAAGGCGACUUACUGGACACAUAUUGACGCUGAGGUGCGAAAGCGUGGGGA
rnacentral:rRNA from 1 species